GGCUGGCCCAAAGACAGUGAGUUAUCUCACUUGAAGUUGGUUACAGAUUGAAUUCAUUGUUCUACUCUUUCCCCUCUCUCACUAUUGCACUUUAGUCUUAA
ensembl:misc_RNA Y_RNA Y RNA